AGUACGGCCGCAAGGUUAAAACUCAAAUGAAUUGACGGGGGCCCGCACAAGCGGUGGAGCAUGUGGUUUAAUUCGAUGCAACGCGAAGGACCUUACCUGGUCUUGACAUCCACGGAAGUUUUCAGAGAUGAGAAUGUGCCUUCGGGAACCGUGAGACAGGUGCUGCAUGGCUGUCGUCAGCUCGUGUUGUGAAAUGUUGGGUUAAGUCCCGCAACGAGCGCAACCCUUAUCCUUUGUUGCCAGCGGUCCGGCCGGGAACUCAAAGGAGACUGCCAGUGAUAAACUGGAGGAAGGUGGGGAUGACGUCAAGUCAUCAUGGCCCUUACGACCAGGGCUACACACGUGCUACAAUGGCGCAUACAAAGAGAAGCGACCUCGCGAGAGCAAGCGGAUCUCAUAAAGUGCGUCGUAGUCCGGAUUGGAGUCUGCAACUCGACUCCAUGAAGUCGGAAUCGCUAGUAAUCGUGGAUCAGAAUGCCACGGUGAAUACGUUCCCGGGCCUUGUACACACCGCCCGUCACACCAUGGGAGUGGGUUGCAAAAGAAGUAGGUAGCUUAACCUUCGGGAGGGCGCUUACCACUUUGUGAUUCAUGACUGGGGUGAAGUCGUAACAAGGUAACC
rnacentral:rRNA from 1 species